rnacentral:ncRNA from 2 species
GGUGGUGGUGCAUGGCCGUUCU